rnacentral:RNase_P_RNA from 1 species
AGGGAAUCUCGGGUGAUCGCUUGCCCGUCCAGGGCUCUAAGCACUGGCGACUCAAAUUUAUUUUGGGUUUUGGGCGAGAGGAAAGUCCGGGCUUCAGGGCAAGCGUAGUGGGUAACGCCCAUCUCUGCUAGGAGACCUGGCAGACGGAUAAGAGCCACAGAGACGAGUCCUUGGCUGAGUAAUGUCAGGCAAGGAGUGAAACGGGGCAAUCUCUACGUGAAGAAAGGCCAAAUAGGGUAAGGUCUGCCGGCGCCUCAAAACGCUGACAGGGAGUUCGCCUCUCCAGCUGUAGUUUUUAAUUAAGCUAUGGUGCUUUGCCGGGUAAGGCCGAAUGACCGAGGCGGUAACGCCUAGGCUUAGAUAGAUGAUCACCCUCCUUAGCAAUAAGGAGACAAAACUCGGCUUACAGAGAUUUCCUUCCU